rnacentral:lncRNA from 1 species
GAACGCUGAGCCUGCUGCUUGUUUCACAGCAGCUGAGUCGUGAGGGAUUGAGCAGCACUGCUCUCCUCACUCCCAACUCUCAAUUAUUCAGCCUUACCAGAUCCUCAACCCAGCGAUUACGAGCCUAUUCUGUCAUGCACUGUCACAUGCUGGUGCCGAGGGAACAUUAAUCACCAUGAAAGCCACUUUCGUUCAUGCAUUGAAUAGGCCUUUGGCAGUUUAUGAUGUGACGGUGAGCUUGUAAGGUGGCACCAUGGCUGCGAUGAUACCACCAGUAAAACUAAAAUGGUUGGAGCACCUCAACAGCUCCUGGAUCGCUGAGGACAGCGAGUCCAUCUCCACCCGUGAAGGCGUCGCUCUGCUGUAUGGCAAGAUGCUGGCCAAUAAGGAGGUGGUUCUUCUCCCUCAGCAGGUCCUAUGUCUGAAGGGCCCUCAGCUGCCGGACUUUGAGCGAGAGUGUCUGUCCAGUGAUGAACAGGAGCAUUAUCUUGAUGCGCUGCUGGCCAGUCAGCUUGCUCUGGCCAAGACGGUGUGCUCAGAUUCACCCUUUGCCACUGCCCUACGCAAACGUCUGCUAGUGCUGCAGCGGGUUUUUUAUGCACUCUCCAACAAAUACCAUGACAAGGGCAAGGUCAAACAGCAGCAGCACUCGACCGAAAACACUCUGGGUUCUGCGGACUUGCAAGCAGUUAGCGAGCGGCCGCGCUCUAGUACAGACGCCCUCAUUGAGAUGGGCGUGCGAACGGGUCUUAGUUUGCUCUUUGCUUUGCUCAGGCAGAGCUGGACGCUUCCUCCAGCCGGUCCAGGGAUCAACCUCUGCAAUGAUGUCAUCACCACAGCCAUCGAAGUGGUGGGCUCCCUUCCGCCGCUCUCCUUGGCCAAUGAAAGCAAGAUUCCACCAAUGGGUUUGGACUGCCUGGCCCAGGUCACCACGUUCCUGAAAGGAGUCACCAUGCGCAACUCGGGGGCCGAUGUGGUGGGGAGGAGGCUGGCGUGUGAGCUGCUGCUGGGAUUGGCAGCGCAACGAGGGUCCCUGCGCUACCUGCUGGAGUGGGUUGAGAUGGCCCUGGCUGCAUCGGCCGGUGUCAGCAACCUGGAGCAGAGCCAGGAGGGGCUGAUGGGAUACGACUGCUUCAUGAACAUUCUGAUGCAGAUGAGGCGUUCACUGGGUUCGUCUGCUGAUCGUAGCCAAUGGAGAGAGCCGACCCGCACACCUGAUGGUCUCUGUUCCCUAUACGAGGCUGCACUUUGUCUGUUUGAGGAGGUGUGUCGCAUGGCUUCAGACUACUCAAGAACUUGUGCGAGUCCAGACAGUAUCCUGGCAGGUGAGGCAGCCAUGGUAUCUGAGACCUGUGAGGUCUAUGUGUGGGGCAGCAACAGCAGCCACCAGCUUGUAGAGGGCACUCAAGAGAAAAUCCUCCAGCCCAAACUCGCUCCCAGCUUCAGUGAUGCACAAACGAUUGAAGCUGGCCAGUACUGCACAUUUGUCAUCUCCUCUGAUGGUUCAGUCCGAGCGUGUGGGAAGGGCAGCUAUGGGCGCCUGGGACUGGGUGACUCAAACAACCAGUCCACUCUUAAGAAGCUGACCUUUGAACCUCACCGUGCCAUUAAGAAAGUUUCAUCAUCCAAAGGCUCAGACGGCCACACAUUAGCCUUCACUAGCGAGGGAGAGGUGUUCAGCUGGGGUGAUGGAGACUAUGGCAAACUGGGUCAUGGCAACAGCUCUACCCAGAAAUACCCCAAACUAAUACAGGGCCCUCUACAAGGAAAGGUGGUGGUUUGUGUUUCAGCAGGGUAUAGACACAGCGCUGCAGUCAGUGAGGAUGGAGAGCUCUACACCUGGGGAGAGGGUGACUUUGGUAGAUUAGGUCAUGGCGACAGUAACAGUAGGAACAUUCCCACGCUAGUGAAAGACAUCAGUAAUGUGGGUGAGGUGUCCUGUGGAAGCUCCCACACCAUUGCGCUGUCUAAAGAUGGACGUACGGUCUGGUCCUUUGGAGGUGGAGACAAUGGGAAACUGGGUCAUGGUGAUACCAAUCGUGUGUACAAACCCAAAGUGGUGGAGGCGCUCCAGGGAAUGUUCAUACGCAAAGUUUGUGCUGGCAGCCAGUCAUCUCUUGCCCUCACCUCUACUGGUCAGGUUUACGCUUGGGGCUGUGGUGCUUGUCUUGGCUGUGGUUCAUCGGAGGCCACUGCGCUAAGGCCAAAAUUGAUUGAGGAACUUGCCACAACCAGAGUGGUAGACAUCUCCAUAGGAGACAGCCACUGCCUUGCUUUAUCACAUGACAAUGAAGUGUAUGCCUGGGGGAAUAACUCCAUGGGUCAGUGUGGUCAAGGGAAUUCCACUGGCCCAAUCACCAAACCCAAGAAGGUGAUUGGUUUAGAUGGAGUGGCCAUUCAGCAGAUCUCUGCUGGCACCUCCCACAGCCUGGCAUGGACUGCCCUCCCAAGAGACAGGCAGGUGGUAGCCUGGCAUAGGCCAUACUGUGUGGACCUAGAAGAAAGCACCUUCUCUCACCUGCGCUCAUUUCUGGAACGAUACUGUGACGGUAUCAACAACGAGAUCCCACCACUACCUUUCCCAUCUUCCAAGGAGCAUCAUAACUUCUUGAAACUAUGUCUACGGCUCUUGUCCAAUCACCUGGCUCUAGCGCUGGCGGGUGGCGUGGCCACCAGCAUCUUGGGAUGGCAAGCGCGGCCACUUCGCAAUCUGCUUUUCAGACUGAUGGAUGCGUCAGUACCGGAUGAAAUCCAGGAGGCUGUCAUCGAGACUCUGUCCGUGGGAGCAACGAUGCUGCUGCCUCCUCUGAGAGAGAGAAUGGAGCUACUGCACUCACUCCUUCCUCAAGGACCAGACCGCUGGGAGAGCCUCUCUAAAGGACAGAGGAUGCAGCUGGACAUAAUCCUCACUAGUCUGCAGGAUCACACCCAUGUGGCAUCUCUGCUGGGGUACAGCAGUCCUGCAGAUUCCUCUGAGCCUCCCACUCUACCCUCCGACUCUACGCAUGUGCCUGGCACUUAUUCUGAUACACAUCCUGACACACACUUGGCAGAGAUCCUCAUGAAAACUCUACUCAGGAACCUGGGCUUUUAUACGGACCAAGCUUUUGGAGAACUGGAGAAGAACAGUGAUAAGAUCUUGCAGGGAACGUCUUCGUCUGAUAGCAGCCAACCAGCUCACCUCCAUGAACUGCUCUGCUCUUUACAGAAGCAGCUACUGGCCUAUUGCCAUAUCAGCUGUGUUACAGAGGGCUCCAGUAGUGUGGCCCUCUUCUACAAACACCUGCAGUUAUUAUUGCCUCAUGCCACAGAUAUCUAUAAUCGCUCCGCAACUCUUCUGAGAGAAAGCUCUGGAAAUGGCAGCGUGCGUGAGAAGCUACGAGAUGUGAUCUACAUGUCUGCAGCGGGAAGUAUGCUGUGUCAGAUUGUGACGUCCUUGCUGUUGCUGCCUGUUUGGGUGGCACGGCCAUUGCUCAGUUACCUCUUAGACCUGCUUCCCCCUCUGGACCGUCUCAACAGACUUCUGCCUGCCGCCACACCUCUGGAGGAACAGGAGCUGCAGUGGCCACUACAUGGCACUCCAGAUCUGGUUGAUCCAGUAUGUGUGUCAGGACCAGCACAGUGCUGGGUGUGGUUGGUGGAUCUGGAGCGAACUGUAGCACUGCUUGUGGGACGUUGUCUCGGAGGAAUGCUGCAGGGAGCCCCGCCCUCACCAGAGGAACAGCACACUACCCAUUGGCUCAAAACACCGCUUUUUAGUAACGGCUUGCAGACUGAUAUACCCCAGCUUGAUGUGUGUAUUAGCUCUCUGCUGGAGAUGGCUCUGUGUGGAAAUGAGGAGCAAAGACCAUUUGACUGUCAGUUGGGUGCUGACAUGAGUGUGCUGGUUGAUUUGUCCCUUGGAUCAACUAAAGAGCCCACACACAGCUUGUGGACAAACAUGCAGGACUAUGCCAUCAGCAAGGAUUGGGACAGUGCAUCAUUGCCGAAUGAGGCUCUGUUAGACACAGUGUCCCGCUUUGUGCUUGCUGUCCUGCUGAAACACACAGGGCUGCUGGGACAGGCGUGUGGAGAGGGGAGAUACCAGCCAUGUAAACUCUUGGCAGAGGUGUAUCGCAGUGUGUAUAAGGUGCGGAAUCGCCUCUUGGCUUGUAAGAACAUGGAGCUCAUCCAGACCCGUUCGUCAUCACGAGAACGCAGAAUCUCUGAUAAUGUGGACUCUGUGGAGAUGGAUCCACAGGAACACUCUUUCACCCGAACUAUAGACGAGGAGGCUGAGCUGGAGGAGAGAGACAGAGAGAGAGAAAGAGAAGAGGGUCAUCAGGAGCAGGAAGAUGAUGAGGAGGAAAGAGAGCAUGAGGUCAUGACCGCAGGAAAAAUCUUUCAAUGUUUCCUAUCAGCACGGGAAGCAGCGCGAGGAAGGGACCGAGAUCGAACCGGAAGCAUGAGCGUACAGGAAGAGCCGGCUCAGCCCGGUCCGGAGCACAGGAGCAGCACGACCCCUCAGGAGGGACAGGAUCUUUAUACCACCGCAUGCAAUGCUGUCAUCCACCGCUGUGCCAUGCUCCUGCUGGCCGUCAGCACACCGCUCGCCCAGCAUAUAAAUCAGCAACCCCUGACAGGUGGGGUCAACCAGGACGGAGGCGGGUUUAUGACGAGGAGUGAGAGCCUGUCGGCAGAGAGUCGGUCCAUCCAGAGCAGUCCCAACUACAGACUCACAAAAUCCAGGAGUGAGUCUGAUCUCUCCCAGCCAGAGUCUGAUGAGGAGGGAUACUCACUGAAUGUGAGGAGGAAUGUGGAUCUGGAUUUAGCUUUCACUCCUAAAAAAAGAGGUAACGCCCGGCCUUUAACAUACUGAGGCUGUAGCAGUGGGACAUACUGUACUACUCUCUUAAUCUGUAUAUUUGUGCAAAAGUCUGUGUACACAUGUAAUGUGUCUCUGACAGCUCUGUGUGUCUGUCUAUUUUUUUCUACAUUGCUAAAUGGGUCCAUGAAAUAAGAUGACAGUGGAUUCCUGCUGGCAUCUUUAUAGCCUCUUCAUGCAUUGCCAGAUUUAUUCCCCAAGCCCAAAAUGUGCCACAGCAAAUUUGUUUCUAUAAAAUACUACUCACAUAAUACUUAUGGUUACACUUUAUUUCGAUAGUCCACUUUAGACAUUCUACUAACUAUAAGUAACUUUGUAACUACAUGUCAACUACAUGUCAACUAAUUCUCAUUAAUUUGCAACUACAUGUCUACUAACUCUCAGAGUAGACCGUUAGGGUAGGUUUAGGGUUAGUAGAAUGUUGACAAAGAAAGUGUUAGAUAUUAAGCAGACAGUCUACUAAUACUCUACUAACUGCUAGUUGACAUGUAGUUGCAAAGUUACUUACUGCUAAUAGAAUGUCUAAAGUGGACUAUCGAAAUAAAGUGUUACCAUACUUAUUCCUUAUUCUUAUU